rnacentral:rRNA from 1 species
AUUGAACGCUGGCGGCGUGCUUAACACAUGCAAGUCGAUCGGUAACGCGGGGGCGACCCUGGCGACGAGAGGCGGACGGGUGAGGAACGCUUGGGAAUCUGCCUAUCAGCGGGGGACAACACGGGGAAACUCGUGCUAAUACCGCAUACGCUCUACGGAGGAAAGCCGGGGACCGCAAGGCCUGGCCCUGAUAGAUGAGCCCAAGCCGGAUUAGCUAGUUGGCGGGGUAACGGCCCACCAAGGCGACGAUCCGUAGCUGGUCUGCGAGGACGAUCAGCCACACUGGGACUGAGACACGGCCCAGACUCCUACGGGAGGCAGCAGUGGGGAAUAUUGGACAAUGGGGGAAACCCUGAUCCAGCGACGCCGCGUGGGUGAAGAAGGCCUGCGGGUUGUAAAGCCCUUUCGGUAGGGGCGAAAGCUCUCGACCUAACACGUCGGGAGGUUGACUUAACCUACAAAAGAAGCACCGGCUAACUCUGUGCCAGCCGCCGCGGUAAAAC